rnacentral:rRNA from 1 species
UACGAAGGGGGCUAGCGUUGCUCGGAAUCACUGGGCGUAAAGCGCACGCAGGCGGUCUGGCGCGUGGGGUGUGAAAUCUGGCCGCUUAACGGCCAGGCGCCAUCCCAUACGGCGUGUCUGGAGUGAUGCAGAGGUCGGUGGAAUUGCCGGUGUAGUGGUGAAAUGCGUAGAGAUCGGCAGGACACCCAGGGGGAAACCGAGC